GGGUAAGCAACAAACAAUAUCCAUCAUGGAAUGAACAAAUGUAGUGGAAUCUCUAAAUUUUGAGAACCAAGGAAAUGAAACUGAAAACUGAAGUGUAACCCAAAACUUAAUGCUCACCUGAAGUCCACAACAAACAAAACAAAAACCAAAAUCCUAAGUAAAUGCAUCCAAAUUUUAUAUAUGAUACAAGACAAUCAAGUAAAUUAAGCACUCACCAUAAAUCAUUAAAAUAAUGAAAACGACUCAUGGGAUAUUAGGUUAAAUUGUUGAUGACUGGAAAAAAAAUUUGUGGUUUGAAAACUAAAAACAACCAAUUACAGCUAAAUCGCUACAUCAUCGACCUCACACCAGAACUAUAAAAUGAGAGGCAAUUCUAAAUUGGACCCUUGACCAUCGAAAUCGGAACAAGUAGAGAACGAAAGCGGAUUACCAAAGAUAUAACCCACAAAUUACAGCUUCUCCAUGUAUUGAACUUCUGUAGAUAUUUUAAUAAAAAGAUAGAUAAAGACAGAGAGAAAUACAUCAG
rnacentral:misc_RNA from 1 species